rnacentral:rRNA from 1 species
UAGGGAAUCUUCGGCAAUGGACGAAAGUCUGACCGAGCAACGCCGCGUGAGUGAUGAAGGUGUUCGGAUCGUAAAACUCUGUUGCCAGGGAAGAAUGGCCAGGAGAGUAACUGCUCUUGGUUUGACGGUACCUGAGAAGAAAGCCCCGGCUAACUACGUGCCAGCAGCCGCGGUAAUACGUAGGGGGCAAGCGUUGUCCGGAAUUAUUGGGCGUAAAGCGCGCGCAGGCGGUUGUUUAAGUCUGGUGUAUAAACCAAGGGCUCAACCUUUGGACGCAUUGGAAACUGGGCAACUGGAGUGUAGGAGAGGAAAGUGGAAUUCCACGUGUAGCGGUGAAAUGCGUAGAGAUGUGGAGGAACACCAGUGGCGAAGGCGACUUUCUGGCCUAUAACUGACGCUGAGGCGCGAAAGCGUGGGGAGCAAACAG